rnacentral:lncRNA from 1 species
GAGCAAGCUGACGCUCCAGUUGCCUUAGUCUUCAAAAGUGUCACUUUCAGAUUGUAUCCUUCAACUUUAAAAUGUCCUUCUUUGGAGUCCAUCUUGCUCUGCCCAUUAUUGGGCCCCAGUGGUCACUUCCUCCUCCACGCUCCUGUGGCCUGGGAUUCACACCAGGAAAGAACGCCACGAAGAAGGAAUGAUGAGAGAUCAAGAAAUAUUAUCCAGUGGCUCUAUGCAGUUCAAAGGGUAGAAGAAAGAAGACCCAGUCAAGGUUUUCGGAUUGGCAGUCUCCAGGUGACAUCUGGUUUUUCUGCCUCCCCCCGAAGGUGGAACAGCAUUGGAAUAGCUUUCCUUACUAGAUACUGGAAAUCCAAUCAGACAUGGGAUGAUCAAGUAUCUAAUCUCCUGGAGCUCCAAGUGCCUUGCUAUCAUUUUCAUACAGGAGGGGCUCAGAGACAGAUGAAAUCAUCACAGAUGGGUUUCAAGGUACGAGAGAAUCACCUUGACUCUGUGUCUCACAGAGCACUUAGUGUAAGACUGAAAAUUUAUUUAUCACCUACAUCAAAGGAAAAGGCUCACAUGGAUGUUGCUGAAUGACCAACACUCCCAGACACACACACUCUCCCGAUCCUUCAUCUAAUGGUUUAGUUAUGGUUCUCAGAGUGUAGAGAAG